AUACUUACCGGGCAAGGGAGUUACUGUGAUCAAGAAGGCGGUUCACCCAGAGCGAGGCUCAGCCAUUGCACUCCGGCUGUGCUGACCCCUGCGAAUUUCCCAAAUGUGGAAAUCGCGAUUGCAGAAUUUCUGCUAGUGGGGGGAAUGCGUUCGCGCUCUCCCCUG
ensembl:snRNA U1 U1 spliceosomal RNA